GAUGAACGCUGUCAGAAUGCUUAACACAUCAGCAAUUGAUUGGUGGCUGACGGGUGAGUAACGCGUAGAGAACUUGCCUCACAGGUAGUGACAACAUUUGGAAACGAAUGCUAAUACCUAAUACUGUGAGAGAGCUUUGCGUCCAAUUGGCUCGUUGGAGGGGUAACGGCUCACCAAGGCGAUGAUGGGUAGCCGGCCUGAGAGGGUGAUCGGCCACAAGGGGACUGAGACACCGCCCGUACUACAACGGGAGGCAGGAGUGGGGAAUAUUGGACAAUGGACCAAAGUCGGAUCCAGCAAUUCUGUGGGGACGAUGAAGUUUUAGGAAUGUAAAGUGCUUUCAGUUGGGAAGCGGUACCAACAGAAGAAGUGACGGCGAAAUACGUGCCAGCAGCCGCGGUAAUUC
rnacentral:rRNA from 1 species